rnacentral:tRNA from 1 species
GCUGUAGCUCAGUAGCAGAGCGCUUGCCUAGCAUAUAUGAGGCACUGGGUUCAAUUCUCAGCACUGCA